AGCGAACGCUGGCGGCAGGCUUAACACAUGCAAGUCGAGCGCCCCGCAAGGGGAGCGGCAGACGGGAGAGUAACACGUGGGAACGUACCCAUUAGUUCGGAACAACCCAGGGAAACUUGGGCUAAUACCCGAUACGUCCGUAGGGAGAACGAAUUAUCGCUAAAGGAUCGGCCCGCGUCUGAUUAGCUAGUUGUUGAAGUAACGGCUCACCAAGGCGACGAUAAGUAGCUGGUCUGGGAGGAUGAUCAGCCUCACUGGGACUGAGACACGGACCAGACUCCUACAGGAGGCAGCAGUGGGGAAUAUUGGACAAUGGGCGCAAGCCUGAUCCAGCCAUGCCGCGUGGGUGAUGAAGGCCCUAGGGUUGUAAAGCCCUGUCGGCGGGGAAGAGAAUGACGGUACCCGAAGAAGAAGCCCCGGCUAACUUCGUGCCAGCAGCCGCCGUAA
rnacentral:rRNA from 1 species